UACGGGGGGGGCAAGCGUUGUUCGGAAUUACUGGGCGUAAAGGGUUCGUAGGUGGCCUACUAAGUCAGACGUGAAAUCCCUCAGUUUAACUGGGGAACUGCGUCUGAUACUGGGGGGCUUGAGGACAGGAGAGGAACGCGGAAUUCCAGGUGUAGCGGUGAAAUGCGUAGAUAUCUGGAGGAACACCGGUGGCGAAGGCGGCGUUCUGGACUGUUUCUGACACUGAGGAACGAAAGCCAGGGGAGCAAACGGG
rnacentral:rRNA from 1 species